CACACACACACACACACACCCCGAGGGCACACUUCCCGCGUCCACCCGCGACUGCACAGCACAUUUGGGGGCGGGGGGGGCGCGAUGGGGCUUUCUGCCCCAGGAGUGCAGGUGAAGCAGCCCCACUGGAUAGUCUGUUGGGGUCCGAGACCCUCAGCUCUCUACUUUCAGGGGACCUGAACGAAGUGAAAGCUGCUCGGUCAUUCGAGAACUCCCGAGGGCUCCAACCGCAGUUCCCCGAGCGUGCCGGGGACCAGAUUUCAGGCGAGGAGCAGAGAAGGACGCCUAAAUAAAAACAGGAAACCCGAUUUAAAAAAAGAUGAAGCCUCACUGUGGCUGAAUUACGGGAAUGUACCCUAAUAUCCUUCCCAACAAAUCAUCGGAGGCUCACAGCCCAGGCCAUCCUACCCCAGGCCCAUCUCGCUGUCCCCGGCAGAAGUCUCCAGCCCACUCCAGGGAGAUACAGCCAAGAGCCAGAAGAGAAAUGGACACAUCAGAGAGAAAAUCUGAUGGCAGGAGUUCCGUGGAAGAAGCCAUCAGGUGAGGAAUGCUUUUGCAUCAUUCAGAAGCACUCUUCAGGGCAGCCCCGGUGGCACAGUGGUUUAGCGCCGUCUGCAGCCCAGGGUGUGAUCCUGGAGACCCUAGAUCGAGUCCCACGUCAGGAUCUUUGUAUGAUGCCUGCUUCUCCCUCUGCCUCUC